rnacentral:rRNA from 1 species
CCUGCCCGGGAGAUCGGGAUAACAGUUCGAAAGGGCUGCUAAUACCGGAUGAUAUCUUUUCUUUUCGGAGGGAAGAUCAAAGCGUUUAGCGCUCUCGGAUGGGCCCGCGUCCCAUUAGUUAGUUGGUGGGGUAAUGGCCUACCAAGGCAGCGAUGGGUAGCCGGUCUGAGAGGAUGUUCGGCCACACUGGGACUGAGACACGGCCCAGACUCCUACGGGAGGCAGCAGUGGGGAAUUUUGCGCAAUGGGGGAAACCUUGACGCAGCGACGCCGCGUGAGUGAUGAAGGCCUUCGGGUUGUAAAGCUCUGUUGGGGGUGAAGAUAGUGACGGUACCCCCUGAGGAAGCCCCGGCUAACUACGUGCCAGCAGCCGCGGUAAGACGUAGGGGGCGAGCGUUGUCCGGAAUUACUGGGCGUAAAGGGCGUGUAGGCGGCUUUUCAAGUCGGCUGUGAAAUUCCUUGGCUUAACUGAGGGUGUGCAGUCGAAACUGAUGGGCUUGAGUGCAGGAGAGGGUGGUGGAAUUCCCGGUGUAGCGGUGACAUGCGUAGAUAUCGGGAGGAACACCGGUGGCGAAGGCGGCCUCCUGGCCUGUUACUGACGCUGAGGCGCGAAAGCCGGGGGAGCAAAACAGGAUUAGAUACCCUGGUAUUCCCGGCCGUAAACUCUGGGUACUA